rnacentral:rRNA from 1 species
AAGGAAUAUUGGUCAAUGGGGGGAACCCUGAACCAGCCAUGCCGCGUGCAGGAUGACUGCCCUAUGGGUUGUAAACUGCUUUUGUCGAGGAAUAAACCCAUCUACGUGUAGAUGGCUGAACGUACUCGAAGAAUAAGGAUCGGCUAACUCCGUGCCAGCAGCCGCGGUAAUACGGAGGAUCCGAGCGUUAUCCGGAUUUAUUGGGUUUAAAGGGUGCGUAGGCGGCACUUUAAGUCAGGGGUGAAAUACGGCAGCUCAACUGUCGCAGUGCCUUUGAUACUGAAGUGCUUGAAUGCGGUUGAAGACGGCGGAAUGAGACAAGUAGCGGUGAAAUGCAUAGAUAUGUCUCAGAACACCGAUUGCGAAGGCAGCUGUCUAAGCCGUUAUUGACGCUGAUGCACGAAAGCGUGGGGAUCGAAC